GACGAACGCUGGCGGCGUGCCUGACACAUGCAAAGUCGUACGGUCCGUGAUUGAUCAAGCUUGCUUGAUUGGUCGUGGAUAGUGGCGGACGGGUGAGUAACGCGUGAACACCUACCCAUUGGAGGGGUACAACCCGUCGAAAGGCGGGCUAAUACCGCGUAAGCCGCGAGGUGAAAGGCUGCCUUUUGGUGGCUGCCGAUGGAUGGGUUCGCGUCCUAUCAGCUUGUUGGUGGGGUAAUGGCCUACCAAGGCGAAGACGGGUAGCCGGUCUGAGAGGAUGGCCGGCCACACUGGAACUGAGACACGGUCCAGACUCCUACGGGAGGCAGCAGUGGGGAAUCUUCCACAAUGGGCGAAAGCCUGAUGCAGCGACGCCGCGUGAGCGAAGAAGUAUUUCGGUAUGUAAAGCUCUAUCAGCAAGGGAAGAAAAUGACGGUACCUGAACUAAGAAGCCCCGGACUAACUACGUGCCAGCAGCCGACGGUAAAAUCACGUGUA
rnacentral:rRNA from 1 species